GGUUGCAGAAGAAGUCCUGGAAAAUUCUAAAGUGGCCAUCACAGUUACCUGCCUUGAACCCCAUAGAAAAUUUCUAUGGGCAUUUGAAGAAGGUCGUUGCAGCAAGCAAACCCAAGAAUAUUACUGAACUGGAGGCCAUUGCUAAUGAGCAAUGGGCUAAGAUUCCCUUAGGAAUGCUGCCAGAAGCUGGUGUCUGUCUAUGCAUCUCGUUUGCAGCAGGUCAUAACAGCAGGGAGCUCUAAUUUCGAGACUGGAGAAGUCAUUAUAGUUUCAGCUGAAUUUGGGGAAACCACUUGAAGCAUUCGUUGUCUUGAGCUAUUUCAAUUGCUUUUGUUUGAUUUAUGCCUUGCAAACAGCUGAAAGUCAGUAAAUGUUGACAAUAAAAACAUGUGAAAAACAAAAAAACAUUAAACAGGGAAACCUGGAGGAAAGGAGAACAAUGAUAAGAAUAAAGUAGGCCCUAACCUUUUUUUUGUAACUUUAAAAAAAGAAUGACUUGUAAAGAAUCAAUACAAUGGAUAUCAAAGGGGUAAGUUCCCUAUGAGAGGCUGUGGUAAUCAGUCCCUAAUGAUAAUAGGGGAGUCUAUUCACAAGCUGCUACCUGAUUUGAGGUAGAUAACAACUGCAAAUAAAGAGAGGGAGUCAAAAAAGCCAGCUCCCUUAGGAAUAGUCAGAGUAAGGUUCCAGGGUUCAUUAGGAAGCUGUUCACAAACCCACAAAAACUUGAUAAAGCAGAUAAGCCCCUAAAGCGAGUAAGCAGUGUGAAUGCAUAUGUAAAAAAAGAGUGUAUAUUGGUUUGAAAAGUGUGCAUUUAGGUUUCAUUAAAC